AAUUAUAGGCCACGCAGCUAACUGCAGCUACAAAAGCAGCAUCAGAAGAUGGUUCUUUUUGAAGGAGCCUGAGGUGUGAAUGAAGACACAAGCACUGUUUUAGUUUUGGUGUUUUUUGUAUGAUGAU